GACGAACGCUGGCGGCGUGCCUAACACAUGCAAGUCGAACGGAAAGGCCCUGCUUUUGUGGGGUGCUCGAGUGGCGAACGGGUGAGUAACACGUGAGUAACCUGCCCUUGACUUUGGGAUAACUUCAGGAAACUGGGGCUAAUACCGGAUAGGAGCUCCUGCUGCAUGGUGGGGGUUGGAAAGUUUCGGCGGUUGGGGAUGGACUCGCGGCUUAUCAGCUUGUUGGUGGGGUAGUGGCUUACCAAGGCUUUGACGGGUAGCCGGCCUGAGAGGGUGACCGGCCACAUUGGGACUGAGAUACGGCCCAGACUCCUACGGGAGGCAGCAGUGGGGAAUAUUGCACAAUGGGCGGAAGCCUGAUGCAGCAACGCCGCGUGCGGGAUGACGGCCUUCGGGUUGUAAACCGCUUUCGCCUGUGACGAAGCGUGAGUGACGGUAAUGGGUAAAGAAGCACCGGCUAACUACGUGCCAGCAGCCGCGGUGAUACGUAGGGUGCGAGCGUUGUCCGGAUUUAUUGGGCGUAAAGGGCUCGUAGGUGGUUGAUCGCGUCGGAAGUGUAAUCUUGGGGCUUAACCCUGAGCGUGCUUUCGAUACGGGUUGACUUGAGGAAGGUAGGGGAGAAUGGAAUUCCUGGUGGAGCGGUGGAAUGCGCAGAUAUCAGGAGGAACACCAGUGGCGAAGGCGGUUCUCUGGGCCUUUCCUGACGCUGAGGAGCGAAAGCGUGGGGAGCGAACAGGCUUAGAUACCCUGGUAGUCCACGCUGUAAACGGUGGGUACUAGGUGUGGGGUCCAUUCCACGGGUUCCGUGCCGUAGCUAACGCUUUAAGUACCCCGCCUGGGGAGUACGGCCGCAAGGCUAAAACUCAAAGGAAUUGACGGGGCCCCGCACAAGCGGCGGAGCAUGCGGAUUAAUUCGAUGCAACGCGUAGAACCUUACCUGGGUUUGACAUGGAUCGGGAGUGCUCAGAGAUGGGUGUGCCUCUUUUGGGGUCGGUUCACAGGUGGUGCAUGGCUGUCGUCAGCUCGUGUCGUGAGAUGUUGGGUUAAGUCCCGCAACGAGCGCAACCCUUGUUCACUGUUGCCAGCACGUUAUGGUGGGGACUCAGUGGAGACCGCCGGGGUCAACUCGGAGGAAGGUGGGGAUGACGUCAAGUCAUCAUGCCCCUUAUGUCCAGGGCUUCACGCAUGCUACAAUGGCUGGUACAGAGAGUGGCGAGCCUGUGAGGGUGAGCGAAUCCCGGAAAGCCGGUCUCAGUUCGGAUUGGGGUCUGCAACUCGACCUCAUGAAGUCGGAGUCGCUAGUAAUCGCAGAUCAGCAACGCUGCGGUGAAUACGUUCCCGGGGCU
rnacentral:rRNA from 1 species